GCCCUAGUAACGGCGAGUGAAGCGGCAACAGCUCAAAUUUGAAAUCUGGCCUCGGCCCGAGUUGUAAUUUGCAGAGGAUGCUUCUGGCGCGGUGCCUUCCGAGUUCCCUGGAACGGGACGCCACAGAGGGUGAGAGCCCCGUAUGGUCGGACACCAAGCCUGUGUGAAGCUCCUUCGACGAGUCGAGUAGUUUGGGAAUGCUGCUCUAAAUGGGAGGUAAAUCUCUUCUAAAGCUAAAUACCGGCCAGAGACCGAUAGCGCACAAGUAGAGUGAUCGAAAGAUGAAAAGCACCUUGAAAAGGGGGUUAAAUAGUACGUGAAAUUGUUGAAAGGGAAGCACUUGUGACCAGACUUGGGCCGGGCGGCUCAUCAGGGGUUCUCCCCUGUGCACUCCGCCCGGCACAGGCCAGCAUCGGUUCUCGUGGGGGGAUAAGACCGUCAGGAACGUAGCACCCUCCGGGGUGUGUUAUAGCCUGGCGGACGAUACCCCCGUGGGGACCGAGGUUCGCGCUCCGCAAGGAUGCUGGCGUAAUGGUCACCAGUGACCCGUCUUGAAACACGGACCAAGGAGUCGUCCAUUAGAGCGAGCGUUUGGGUGUAAAACCCGCACGCGUAAUGAAAGUGAACGCAGGUGAGAGCUUCGGCGCAUCAUCGACCGAUCCUGAUGUUCUCGGAAGGAUUUGAGUAAGAGUUUUAACGGACGGACCCGAAAGACAGUGAACUAUGCUUGUAUAGGGUGAAGCCAGAGGAAACUCUGGUGGAGGCUCGCAGCGGUUCUGACGUGCAAAUCGAUCGUCAAAUAUGAGCAUGGGGGCGAAAGACUAAUCGA
rnacentral:rRNA from 1 species